rnacentral:tRNA from 2 species
GGUCGCUUAACUCAGUUGGUUAGAGUGUCGUACUAAUAUCUCGCUUCGGCGUUCUGAAAUGCGAAAGUCGCCAGUUCGAUCCUGGUAGUGACCA